GGUAGCCAUCUCAGUCCGACACUCCGGUCUCCGACCAAAACAUUGCUGCUGUAAGCUCGGGUGCAUAGGCUUGUCGCUCGCUUUUGGAAGGACUUGUGUGGUGUUCGGAUGUACGAAUCGUUCUGAUUGUGAUGCGUAAUCGAAGGGAAUAACAUUUCAUGUAUUUCCUAAAAAUGAAAGUCGGAAAGCUCUGUGGGAGAAUGCCGUGAGGAGAAAGAAUUGGCGUGCGUCUAAAUGGAGCACUAUGUUCUCACCAUUUCCGAGAAGAGGACAUAGACCGAACUUCCCUUUCAACGGUAAGGCUCCGAGAAAAUGCUGUACCAUCAUUUGUCCCUACACACCCAAAACAUUUGCAAAAGGGAGACAAGAAGAGAAAGCCACCAUUGCGGAAGGAGAGCUCUUCCUUUCCAUCUUCAGUUUUGGCUGCCGUCAGCAGAGUGCAGGAUGAAGUAGUUCCUGCUCUUGUUCCUGAGUACACUGCAGGACCACCAGAACGUAGUCAGACAUCCUUUGAAAGUGAGGAACUGAAGAUGAAGUGUGAACACCUCAUAAGAAAAACUGAUCAGUACAAAAAACAAAUUAAAACUCUUCAGCAGUCUAACGACGACAUAAGAAGAAAGUGGCUUCUUUGAGUGCUAUCAUUAAGGUACUGAAAGACGAGCAUCUUGUGGACGAAAGUUCACUAAAUAUACUAGAAAGCAUACCUGGAAUGCAGAGAGACUUGCUGCAGCGACAAACUGCGAAAGCUGGGGCACAGGCUGUACCUAGAUCAUACAGCCCAGAACUGCGCUCCUUUGCCUUAACACUGCAUUUUUAUUCCCACAGGGCGUAUAAUUAUGUUAGGCGCUGUUUUAAUACAUGUUUUCCACACCCCAGAACAUUAACAAAGUGGUACCAGUGUGUGGGUGGAGCACCUAGCUUCACAUCAGAGGCGUUUAAGGUAAAUACGGCAGAAGCUUGUAACCGUGAAACAAAGUUUCCAACUCUAUGUAGCUUGGUAGUUGAAAUUGCCAUCAGGCAACAUGUAGAAUUUGAUGGUACAUGCUAUUACAGUUAUGUUGACAUGGGGUCAUCUGUAGACACAGAUAAUUUGCCCAUUGCCAAAGCAUUUGUGCUCAUGCUUGUGGCUAUUAAUGCUUCUUGGAAGCUCCCAGUUGGGUAUUUCCUGACUGCUGGUAUAACUGGUGAGCAAAAAGCCGAGAUAGUUAAACAGUGCAUUGAUCUUACCAAUUCAAGUGGUGUGAAAGUUGUUUCGCUCACAUGUGAUGGUUCAGCUAGCAAUUUGUCAAUGGCUAGAUGUUUAGGCUGCAAUCUCAAUUGUGAAACUUUGAAAAGUACUUUUUUCAGUUGAAGGGAAUGAUCAUGAAAUGUCAUUUUUCCUAGACCCUCCACAUAUGUUGAAACUUGUGGGCAACGCUUUAGGAGAUAAAAAAUUACUUUGGGAUGAGCAAGGUGGUGUCAUUUCUUGGCACUUUUUGGAACUGUUACAUAAAUUACAGGUCAAGGAAGGGCUCCACAUAGGCAACAAGAUCACUGCCAGUCACCUUAAUUUUUUUUUAAAUAAAAUGAAGGUGAAACUGGCUGCUUAGCAAUUCUGUGGCAGAUGCCAUACAGUACUGUUGUGAUAUGGAACUCCCAGGUUUUGAAUGGGCAUCUGCAACAGUAAAAUUUAUACGCAUUUUCAACUGUCUCUUUGAUGUCUGCAAUUCCAGAACACUUACAAAGUGGUUUCAAGCAGGCAUUAAAUACAGCAAAUUUUAGUGCUGUAGAGGGAUUUCUUUUAAAGGCACAGAGGUACAUCAAGGAACUCACUGUUGGUCCAAAUCCUCAAGCAAUGAGAGUUGUUGACUCAAAUAGAAAGACAGGGUUUAUUGGAUUCCUGGUGUGUAUAUCCAGUGUUUUACACAUGUAUAGCAAAGUAGUGGGGACACAAACUCGUGCUCCUCUAUUGAAGUUUCUGCCUCUUUACAAAUGUUCUCAGGACCACUUGGAAAUGUUUUUUAGUGCCAUCCAAAGUCGUGGUGGUUGGAAUAACAACCCCACUGCUCGCCAGUUUGUUGCAGCAUACAAGAGGCUACUAAUUCAUAGUGAGAUCCGUGGAUCAGAAAGAGGGAAUUGUAUAACUUUGGAAGAUAUUCCCAUUCUUACUUUCAGCAGUUCCAAUGUUGAAGAUCACAUAAAUAACACUUCGGAACGGUGGCAGUUACUAAGCACGGAAAAUAGUGCAGCGACAACUGACAAUGACCACGAUUACUUUGCUACUGGAAUUUAUCUCUCUGAAGUGGCAGUCCUUAUUGUAGUAUAUAUAGCGUGAUUUGUGGUGCGUCACUUAGAGAAAACCUUAAAAUGUGAAGCAUGUUUAUCCGUGUUGAGAGGGGAUGGUAGUUAUGUUGCUUAUUCUCUCAUUCAUAGAAAGAGUAGGGGAUGGUUGGUUUUACCAUCGAAUGAUGUUGUUGACGUGUGUGUGUGUGUGUGUGUGUGUGUGCGUGCAGAAAAAGUGUUCAGGUGCUAUACUACAGGUAAUUCUAAAGUUCCUUUGAAAAAUCAGUUUUCCAAAUGUGUGUCUGAGGUGCUUAGUGAAUUCAUAUUCAAGCCAGUGUUUAAGGAGUUAGCAGACCACAUGAAAAAUCAGCAUCCCUUGGACAAUCAUAUGAUACUGCUGAUUAAAGCAAUUGCCACACGAUACCUCCUGACUCUGCAAAAACAUGCAGCCAAGAGAAUAAGUGAUGCAUUGCAUGAAAAUAAAAUCGGGACAACCUAUACAAAACUGGUACUCUUUAAAGGUCAGUAUCUGAUAUUUGUACACAGAGGUCUAGUGUGUGAGGCAUCUUGUAUAAAGCACUCAUUAUAUUGAGGCAAACUGGGAAUGUAACCUUAUUGUAAUUAUUAAAUGAUGCACAUUCUUCCUUUUCCGUUAUGUCUAUGUUGUUAUAACCAGCUACAAAAUGUUUGUGAUGUCUGUAUCUUAAAACUAUUAGUACUAGCAUAUUCAGUGUAUCUAUGAAAAUUUGUUCCUGGUGUGUGAUGGAGUCAGACAAUUAUAAUUUUACGUGUGUGUGUAAUACCUUUCAAAUAUAUCUUCCUCAAACCAACAUUUGGAACUACAUUAUAUGUAGAGUGUUUCCAAGUGAUUGAUACUCUACCAUACUAGUAUGCAGUACUGGUUCUGCAAUAGCUUGUGAUCUGUGUGCUUCCAAAUGGCACAUACAUUUCUUUUUGAAAUAUUUAGCCAUUGUUUGGCAGAGUAUGCCGUAGUAUGUUCUAGCCAGUGUUGUUAAUUAAGUUUCCACGAGUGACAACAUAUUAAUGAGAAAUAGAAUUGCCUCAUUUUUGGCACAUUGACAUACAUUCCCAUCAUUGUGUGGUAUGUUAUGGUUUUUGCUUGUGUGUCAUUACAAAUUAUAUUUUUUUGUGAUCUAGUCCAACAGUGGUUUACCCUAAAAAAAUGAGAGUAGUGUUCGCAUGUGAGCGUUAUUGGUUUUUCACUACUUCAUUGAAAUGUAACCCAUGUGUUGUACAGAAACUACAGCCCACAACGUUUAUAUCUGUAGUAAGACAUAUUUUAUAAAUGAUUGCAUAUUUUCUUGUUUGUUUGACUACUUUCCUGGUUUAUGCAAGACCACUGUGAUAAAUCAUAUGUAUGUGGAAUGGUAAAUAGUAUUACAUUUGUAUCAGUCAGGAGACUGACAUUUCUUUCAUUCUCAACAAGCAAUG